GCCGAGCGCGCUCCUUCGCGUCCCCCGGGACGUGCACUUUCUGGGCGACCGCCCGCCGCUCGCGCGGAGCCCCCGCAGUGCGCUGCGGAGGCCGGAGCUGCGCGGAGGCCCGGGCCCUUGGGCCACCGGGGAGCGUCCCUGUCCCCGCAGGCUUGUUCCCGCCUCGCUUCUCGGAACGCGCGCCUCUGGUUGCCUUGUCCCCUGCCAGAUCCCAAGCCUAGAACCCCGUGGACGAAGUCCUUGUGCGUGGACGCCCUUGCCUCUGAGUGCUCGGAGGAGUCCUUGCUGGCGACUCCGUGGCCCACAUAACCAGCGACCCAGAAAGCGCGCACUCCUCAAAAAGACUCUGGGUUUGGAUUUUCGUUGGCAACUUAAGAAAUAAUGACUUUGGCAUUUAUUAAAACAGUAGGAAGGACUUCAUUCAGAGAGAAAUGGUAUGCAACACGGAAUACAGCACCGGAGGCUGGAGCUUUAUAGUCAAUGAGUAGAACAAGGGAGUGUGUGGGGUCAGUAGAUGGGAAUCACCAGGUCGUCCAAGGGGGAUUUUUUGCUAAACCGAUUGAACAGGAUUGUUGCUGAAGGCAGGCCAGUGUGGCGGGAGGUGAGGUAUUUGGUCAGAGAUGACGGGUGAUCGACCCCAAGAUGGGGAUGCUUUCUGAAUCAGCUUUGCAGGAUUCUUCCUAAAACUAGGCUGGUCAGUGAGAAGGUUGGGACGGGGGUCAAGGAGUGAAGCCAGAAUUUGACAGCUGUCGGUAUAGACAGAUAAAAGACUGCUCCCUGAGGGAGUGAAAUCCCUUGAGAGCCCUUCCUCCUCUCUUCCUCCUCCUCCAUCCCCUGCUCCAACCUGUUGCUAAGCCCACCUGUUUCCCACGUUUUGGCCACCCCACGGAGGUCACCUAUGUAGGAAGGAGAAAGAGAAAGGGAAGAGAGCUGGAGAACAAAGGAAGCCUAAGACAUCAAAAAGGCGGAACACCUUCCUGGGUACCAGGACACCAGCUAUGGCCCUUCUCCCUCCUGGGAGAGGUCUGUUGCCCUUAUUAAAUAAACCUGCUUCAUAGGCUUC